UACGGAGGAUCCAAGCGUUAUCCGGAAUCAUUGGGUUUAAAGGGUCCGUAGGCGGUUUUGUAAGUCAGUGGUGAAAGCCCAUCGCUCAACGGUGGAACGGCCAUUGAUACUGCAAGACUUGAAUUAUUAGGAAGUAACUAGAAUAUGUAGUGUAGCGGUGAAAUGCUUAGAGAUUACAUGGAAUACCAAUUGCGAAGGCAGGUUACUACUAAUGGAUUGACGCUGAUGGACGAAAGCGUGGGGAGCAAACAGG
rnacentral:rRNA from 1 species